AUUCCAUAAAAAUAUUUCUGUGUUUACUUGAUUCAUGGGAGGCGGAAAUUAACAUUGGGAGUUUGCUGAUGACACCUUUUUGUUCCAAGAAGGUGUUUUAACAGUACCUCACCAAACACAU